GGGGAUGUAGCUCAGUGGUAGAGUGUAUGUUUUGCAUGUGCAAGGCCCUGGGUUCAAUCCCCAGCACCA
rnacentral:tRNA from 1 species